AUUUAUGAUAAACAUAGGGAAAAAAUAUCCAUUUGACUGCAAAUCAGUAUGCUGCAAUUAGUUAAGGAUGCGGUUGUCAAGCUGUCGACUUGGCUAUUGAGGUUUUUUUGGAGUUAAGUUUUAUCAAGUCAUUCAUUGACAGGAGUUUGAUGUAUUUCAGCCAAAAGUAGCGUAUCUAAGCUUGCUUUGGACUCUAAGAAGGUUUAAGACAUUAGACUUAUUAGCCGAGCGAUUUCCAUGGGAAAAUUAUGCUGUUUAGAAAAACAAUUACUGCAAAGUGCGAUGAUGAAAGCAAACUUGCAAAACAAAGCAUCAAUGUUUUUUAAGAAAACUAUUGUUGAUAGAGAACAUUAUCUUAAUAACAAUGAUAAUUGAUAUUUUUAAUAACAAUAAUUGUUUGCAUACUUCAA